rnacentral:rRNA from 1 species
CAUUAACGAGUUCUUGAACGGGUUGCUGCUGACUCCUUUAUUUGGAGUAUGUGCACACCUGGCUCAAUUCCACUCUUUUAACCCCUGUGCACUUUUUGUAGGUUGGUGAAUGACUGGCAUUUAAAGAUGUCAGUUUGAAGCCUUCCUAUGUUUUAUUACAAACGCUUCAGUUAUAGAAUGUUUUACUUGCUAUAAACGCAAUUAUAUACAACUUUCAGCAACGGAUCUCUUGGCUCUCGCAUCGAUGAAGAACGCAGCGAAAUGCGAUAAGUAAUGUGAAUUGCAGAAUUCAGUGAAUCAUCGAAUCUUUGAACGCACCUUGCGCCCUUUGGUAUUCCGAAGGGCAUGCCUGUUUGAGUGUCAUGGAAUUCUCAAACCCCCAAUUUAUUUUUGGUGGGCUUUGGAUUUGGAGGCUUGUGCUGGUGGCUUUUUUAAUUAAAAGUGUUCAGCUCCUCUGAAAUGCAUUAGUGUGAAUCUUACUGGUCACUAUCAGUGUGAUAAUUAUCUGCGCUGUUGUGAUUCUAGUAUUUAUAUGUUCAUGCUUUCUAAUCGUCUCGUUUACAUGAGACAAUUAAUAACUUUGACAUCUGACCUCAAAUCAGGUAGGACUACCC